rnacentral:rRNA from 1 species
UAGAGGAAGUAAAAGUCGUAACAAGGUUUCCGUAGGUGAACCUGCGGAAGGAUCAUUAAUGAAUUUUGAAAGGGGUUGUAGCUGGCCUUUUAGGAGGCAUGUGCACACCCUGCUCUUCCAUUCUUACACCUGUGCACACUCUGUAGGUCGGUUUGAGCGGUUCUCUCUAACGGGGGAUGCUGUUUGGCCUUCCUAUGUUUUAUAACAAACUCUGUAAUGUCAUAGAAUGUCAUCGCGUAUAACGCAUUAUAAUAUAACUUUCAGCAACGGAUCUCUUGGCUCUCGCAUCGAUGAAGAACGCAGCGAAAUGCGAUAAGUAAUGUGAAUUGCAGAAUUCAGUGAAUCAUCGAAUCUUUGAACGCACCUUGCGCUCCUUGGUAUUCCGAGGAGCAUGCCUGUUUGAGUGUCAUGGAAUUCUCAACCCUCUUAUCCUUGUGGUGAGAUUGGGUUGGAUUUGGAGGUUUAUGCUGGCUUGUAAUGAGUCGGCUCCUCUUGAAUGCAUUAGCUUGGACCUUUGCGGACCAGCUUUUCGGUGUGAUAAUUGUCUACGCCGUGGGCUGUGAUGCUGUUUAACAUGCUUCGGUGUGUUGGGGUUCUGCUUCUAAUGGUCCCUUUGGUGGGACAACUUACUUUGACCUCUGACCUCAAAUCAGGUAGGAUUACCCGCUGAACUUAAGCAUAUCAAUAAG